GUGCUUUGGCAGCACAUAUACUAAAAUUGGAACGAUACGAAGAUUGCAUGGCCCCUGCACAAGGAUGACACCAAAAUUUUGCGGCUCUCU
ensembl:snRNA U6 U6 spliceosomal RNA